ACCGCCGCACAGUGUGAAAUUUACGCGUUGUAGCUGGAAAAAAAUAUUUCAGCGACUCUUUUAAUGAAAUAUUAGUCUUUUUCGUUUUUAUAUAAGAAAUUUUAUCAAGGCAAGGUAGAUCAUGCACCAAAAUAAUCAUAGUCGGGCAUAUACAGGGUCUCUCAUAAUGUUUGGUAAAUAUGGGAAACUGUUGUACCCUUGAUUAUGUAUAAAUAGAUGUACAAUGAGGGCUUAGUACAAGCCCGUCUUCUAGGUGGCGCCUUGCCCGUUCUGAAUUUUUGUAUUCCCCUACGAUUUUCUUUGAGGGGAAUCCGUUAAACCCGCCCAUCGUUCAAAAAUGGAAGGGCGCGAGGUCACAUCUAUUGGGCCACUUAUUAGCACGUUUCACCCAUGUUUUACGAAAAUAGCUUUAUCCUUGUUUGUUUCAACUGUGACAAGAAAAAAGGAAAAAAGUUAUAUUCGCUUCUAAAUUCGGCAGUUUUGUUGAUCUUUCUCGACUUGUAAUUUCGUUUCGUUUAGGUUAUGUCUUAUAAAAAUAAAUAUUUAUAAGCUUUUGAAUUGAGAUAUACCUUAAUGCAUAUCUGAGUAAUUAAAAAAUUCAGUUUUUUCGUCCCUCGCGAAGAAACAUAAACAGUAUUUGUGAAAUUUGGAUUAGAAGCUAUUAUUUUAUUAGUUUAUUUUGUUGUGUUUAAGUGUUGUGUAUUUGUACCUACUGGAUAAUAUUUUCCAACAUAUUUAAUUAAGCAAAAAGCAUCUGUUUUACAGGUGUGACUGCUAAGUGGUCGUACUCGCCACUUUAACCAAGCAUUGGUGGGACCUUCAGAGAUCAUAAUGCGAAUUUCUUCAUACCAUGUAAAUCUAUAUACAUGUAUUAAUAAAUGCGUUUGCUUUA